AUUGAACGCUGGCGGCAGGCCUAACACAUGCAAGUCGAGCGGAGCGGCGGACGGGUGAGUAAUGCCUAGGAAUCUGCCUGGUAGUGGGGGAUAACGUCCGGAUACGGGCGCUACUACCGCAUACUAUCAGAUGAGCCUAGUUCUGAUUAGCUAGUUGGUGAGGUAAAGGCCUACCAAGGCGACGAUCCGUAACUGAUCUGAGAGGAUGAUCAGUCACACUGGAACUGAGACACGGGCCAGACUCCUACAGGAGACAGCAGUGGGAAAUAUUGGACCAUGGGCGAAAGCCUGAUCCAACCAUGCCGCGUGUGUGAAGAAGGUCUUCGGAUUGUAAAGCACUUUAAGUUGGGAGACGUUACCAACAAGAUAAGCACCGGCGAACUUCGUGCCAGCAGCCGCGGUAAUUC
rnacentral:rRNA from 1 species